UACGGGGGGAGCAAGCGUUGUUCGGAUUUACUGGGCGUAAAGGGCGCGUAGGCGGUCGUGACAAGUCACUUGUGAAAUCUCCGGGCUUAACUCGGAACGGUCAAGUGAUACUGUCGGACUAGAGUACAGAAGGGGCAACUGGAAUUCUCGGUGUAGCGGUGAAAUGCGUAGAUAUCGAGAGGAACACCUGUGGUGUAGACGGCUUACUGGACCGCGACUGACGCUGAGGCACGAAAGCGUGGGUAGCAAACAGG
rnacentral:rRNA from 1 species